UUCCUAUACUACCGUCAAUUACUACACGUAGUAACCAUUCUUGGUAUAGAAAAGCAGUUUACAACCCAUAGGGCCGUCAUCCUGCACGCGGGAUGGCUGGUUCAGACUCUCGUCC
rnacentral:rRNA from 1 species